UGUAGGCUCUAACACCGUCAUCAAGCUAAUGAUGAGUUCUAUGGAUAUACAAAUUCUUUAAUAUUGAUAUGAGUGACGUUUUUGUGUAGCUACUAACAUCGUUAUCA